rnacentral:rRNA from 1 species
AGUGAACGCUGGCGGUAGGCCUAACACAUGCAAGUCGAACGGCAGCACAGUAAGAGCUUGCUCUUACGGGUGGCGAGUGGCGGACGGGUGAGGAAUACAUCGGAAUCUACUUUUUCGUGGGGGAUAACGUAGGGAAACUUACGCUAAUACCGCAUACGACCUACGGGUGAAAGCAUGGGAUCUUCGGACCUUGCGCGAUUGAAUGAGCCGAUGUCGGAUUAGCUAGUUGGCGAGGUAAAGGCCCACCAAGGCGACGAUCCGUAGCUGGUCUGAGAGGAUGAUCAGCCACACUGGAACUGAGACACGGUCCAGACUCCUACGGGAGGCAGCAGUGGGGAAUAUUGGACAAUGGGCGCAAGCCUGAUCCAGCCAUACCGCGUGGGUGAAGAAGGCCUUCGGGUUGUAAAGCCCUUUUGUUGGGAAAGAAAAGCAGCAGGUUAAUACCCCGCUGUUCUGACGGUACCCAAAGAAUAAGCACCGGCUAACUUCGUG